GCGGGCGGUUGCCACGCCCAACCCCACCCUGCCCCGCCCCCUUUCCCGCUCCGCCCCAGGGGCGCCCUCUUUCCCUGCCUCGCGAGACCUGGGCCGAGACCUCGGGAAUGCUCCGGGCUCCUGCCGGCCUCUCCCGGCCGGGUUCUCUUACACUAAAAAUAGGUGACUGUGGCGGCGCCCCUCCUAUGGGGCCUUGGGGGAAAUUGGGGUUUUGUCUUAGAGCCCGUGUGGACCCCGAUGGCGAUGCCAGCCCGAGGAGAGGGAGGCGGCUUUCCGACGACCAGACCCUGCAGGAUUCGGCCUUUCCCUUCGGAGUUUUCCUCCAACCCCCUCCGUCCCUCCCAGGGGAUGCCCGCAGGCCACGGUGGUCACUGAAGUUCAGCCCUGAGCCGAAGGAGACGUGGCCUCGACCCUGGGGGCCCCUUCAGGUGUAGCUUGAGGGGGAACGGCCGCCUUUCCCGUUGGGCACCCAGCUGUGGCUGUGCCCGGUCCUCGCCCAGCUCCCGGCAUAGGCAUGCACUCUGGGCCGGGGCCGGGGCCCCCGUCUCUCCAGGAGGAAUCGCUGGGUUGACUCUGGGUCAGCAAAGGGAGCCCGGCCCCUUCUAGCGGGGGGACGUCCUGCAGCCGCUGGAGGAGGCUGAGUCAGUCAAGCUCAUCCCACCAGAAGUCUCCCUGUGCCUGCGCCCGCCGGGCCUGCCGGCCUCUGCCUUCUCAUCCAGGGCGCCUCUUCUCUAGCCUCACAGAGGUGGGAAGCUUGCUGGAGGCCCCCACCUGCCUUUUUGGGAAGACCCCGAGGCUGGCCCAGGCCCUGUUGGCAGGACCCUUCCUGACUGGGUCCACCGUUCCUCUGGGUCUCACCACUUCUCCAAGCCCCUGGGCUGCCUCCUUUCCCCCGUGUCUGGGACCCCAGAGGCACCACUUUCAUUCCACACAAGUAAAAUGCUGUUGAAGACCCACGGACGUGACUGCACCCCUCACUAACUGGUCACUGGUUUGGGGAGGAACACCAAUGUCCCAGUGGAACCUUGAGAACACCUUGGAGUCCUCCUCUUCCUCUCUGGACCUGAGCCAAACUGUGAGUGGCACAGAGCAAGGACCAUAUGUAUUCUGUUCAUUGUUGCAUACUCAGUUCAUUGACCACAGUGCCAAGCACACAGUGAGCACUCCCUGUGUAUCUGCUAAGUAAAUCAACGAACAAACCCAACACAUUUCA